GACGAACGCUGGCGGCGUGCUUAACACAUGCAAGUCGAACGGAAAGGCCCUGCUUUUGUGGGGUGCUCGAGUGGCGAACGGGUGAGUAACACGUGAGUAACCUGCCCUUGACUUUGGGAUAACUUCAGGAAACUGGGGCUAAUACCGGAUAGGAGCUCCUGCUGCAUGGUGGGGGUUGGAAAGUUUCGGCGGUUGGGGAUGGACUCGCGGCUUAUCAGCUUGUUGGUGGGGUAGUGGCUUACCAAGGCUUUGACGGGUAGCCGGCCUGAGAGGGUGACCGGCAACAUGGGGCCGGAGAUACGGCCCAGACUCCUACGGAAGGCAGAGGUGGGGAAUAUUGCACAAUGGGCGGAGGCCUGAGGAAGAACCGCCGCGUGCGGGAUGACGGCCUUGGGGUGGUAAACGGUUUUGGCCUGUGACGAAGCGUGGGGGAGGGAAAUGGGAAAAGAAGCACGGGCUAAUUACGU
rnacentral:rRNA from 1 species